GCCGCAGACCCAAACCGAAAGGCCCAGCGCCAUGACAGCGCUUGGCCGCAGGUUCGAGUCCUGCCGGGGGCG
rnacentral:tRNA from 1 species